CCAAGAGUUCAUAUCGACGGCGGUGUUUGGCACCUCGAUGUCGGCUCAUCACAUCCUGGGGCUGAAGUAGGUCCCAAGGGUAUGGCUGUUCGCCAUUUAAAGUGGUACGCGAGCUGGGUUUAGAACGUCGUGAGACAGUUCGGUCCCUAUCUGCCGUGGGCGCUGGAGAACUGAGGGGGGCUGCUCCUAGUACGAGAGGACCGGAGUGGACGCAUCACUGGUGUUCGGGUUGUCAUGCCAAUGGCACUGCCCGGUAGCUAAAUGCGGAAGAGAUAAGUGCUGAAAGCAUCUAAGCACGAAACUUGCCCCGAGAUGAGUUCUCCCUGACUCCUUGAGAGUCCUGAAGGAACGUUGAAGACGACGACGUUGAUAGGCCGGGUGUGUAAGCGCAGCGAUGCGUUGAGCUAACCGGUACUAAUGAACCGUGAGGCUUAACCUU
rnacentral:rRNA from 1 species